rnacentral:rRNA from 1 species
GACGAACGCUGGCGGCGUGCCUAACACAUGCAAGUCGAGCGAGGACAGUCCUUCGGGGCUGAGCCGAGCGGCGGACGGGUGCGUAACACGUGAGCAACCUGUCUCCGUGCGGGGGAUAACCCGGGGAAACUCGGGCUAAUACCGCAUGGUCGGACCUCUCGCCUGGGGGGUUCGGGAAAGAUGGCCUCUUAACAAUGCUAUCGUGCGGAGAGGGGCUCGCGGGCUAUCAGCUGGUUGGUGAGGUAAUGGCUCACCAAGGCGACGACGGCUAGGGGGUCUGAGAGGACGACCCCCCACAUUGGAACUGAGACACGGUCCAGACUCCUACGGGAGGCAGCAGUGGGGAAUUUUGGGCAAUGGCCGAAAGGCUGACCCAGCGACGCCGCGUGCGGGAGGACGCCCUUCGGGGUGUAAACCGCUGUCAGAGGGGACGAAAGGCCGGGGUGGGAAUACUGCCCUGGAGUGACGGUACCCUCAGAGGAAGCACCGGCUAACUCU